AAGCUCACUUUGGCAGCACAUAUUCUAAAAUAAGAUGAUACAGACAAGAUUAGCAUGGCCCCGUGCAAGGACGACACACACACUUGAGAAGCAUUCUAUAUUAAA
rnacentral:snRNA from 1 species